AUCCCUUGAGGCCCGCGUAGUAAUAUCAAAAUCACACAUUACGCUGAAGACGGGUUCGCAAAAAAGAAUCUCGAAUGGUCAACAAUAAUACAUCGCUCAAGGUGAAUAAUUAUCUAUUUUAACAUACCAACUAAUUUCAACAGUAAAAACUAAUAACAAAACAUUGUCAAAUUUGAAACAGAAGUGUACGAGUUGUCCUACGCUUCAGACUUGACAUUCACUAAACAUGCAUGCUGAAAUUGACAUGACCCCCUCUGACAUGGUUGAUUUUGUAACACAAUCAUAUACACAUUCAAGUUUUGAAAUCGACAAUUGUCAUCGUCAUUGGAAUGCAACUGGAAUACACAUUCUGAGGUCACACAGGUUCAAACAAUACUCAGUCCGGCAGUGGGCGGAGCUUUAAAGCGAUAUCUGUAUAGUAUACAGACACAGCAUAGCGAUAUCUGUAGGGCUGUAUCUGUAUAGUAGGACACCCAAUUGCAGGAUAAAUUUUGAU
rnacentral:lncRNA from 1 species